GCAUCCGUAGCUCAACUGGAUAGAGUGUUGCUUUCCGAAGGCAAAGGUUGUGGGUUCAAAUCCCGCCGGGUGCACCA
rnacentral:tRNA from 1 species